ACGAAUGGCGGCGCUGUGUACGUUUUCCUCACAUGUGAUAACCUCGAACGUAUCUGCAGUACUGUAUUGCGUCUCCGUUAGAUUAUUCAGGUUUUGACGAUUUACACGUGAGUUUAUAGAAUAUGCAAUUAAAAAUGGUAAAAACUUUUAAUGCGAAAUUAGCAAAGCAUAUACUUCAAGAAGAAAACAAAUUUAUUUCGAAUAUAUAUUCGAAAAUGCCUUUGCCUAUGUUCGAGUUAGUCAACCAGGAUGAAGAUGAAGAAGAGAAGGAUGAUGUUAUAAGAAGGGUUCCAGGUGCAACAACAAAAAGGGCACAAACUUUCGAAGAAUUACAUGCCAAAUUAGAAGAAUUAAAAAACGUGAAAAAAUUAGGGUAUAAACAAAAGCUUCUAAAGAAAACAUUAAAGAAUAAAAUUAAAAAAAAAACAAGAAAAGAAGAACGUUUAAUACAGAAGAAGUCAGUAAGAACGGAACAGCAAGUAACUGAUUUGAACAACUUUAAUUUUGAAGAUAAUGAGAUGCAAAAAAUUCCUAAGCCUAAACCAAUAUUUAACUCUGAAGGUAAGAUGGUUUUUAGUAAAUUUGAUUUUUCUGAAAUUGGAACAAAGAAAAAAUCUUUGAAAAGUGAAAAAGAUCCGAAGAAAAUUCUCCAACAAUUGCAACAGAAGAAUGAAAAGUUAAAGGAAUUAGAACAGUCUGGUGAAAAAGAUAAAGUAGAAGAGAUCAAAGAAAAAGAAGCUUGGAAAUCAGCUCUUGCAAAGGCCAGCGGGGAAAAGGUUAAGGAUGAUCCAGAUUUGUUAAAACGCACAAUAAAACGACAAGAACUAAAAAGGAAGAAGAGUUCCAAAAAAUGGGAAUCUAGAAUAGAGUCUGUACAGAAGUCUAAACAAGAAAGACAAGAGAAAAGACAAGAAAACAUUACAAAAAGAAAAAGGGAGAAAAAAACGAAUAAACUUAAAAAAGCUGCAAAAAAAGGAAGAGUGAUACCAGGAUUUUAAAUGUAAUAUAAACGUUUGCAUAUUAUCAACAUUUAAAUGUGAAAAGUGAAAUCAUGGUGCAUAUAUGCAUUUAUUAAGAAAAUGAAAGAAAUGAAAAUAGUUUGUAAAAAGUGUCCUUAUAUAAAUAUUUUCUUUUAAACAUUUACUAUUAAUAUACUAAUAUUUAAUAUUAUGUACCAAUGAUUUUGCAGUGAUGAUAUAAUUUUUAUGAGUUGACAACAUCUAUUUAUAUGUAAACGUUUACAAAGAUGAAAGUUCAAUAUUCAUAUUUUCCUAUGCUUUUCAUUCAGAAUGCAUGCGAUAAUUAAAAUGAAUCGUAUUAGAAAAUUAUAAAAAGAAUGCAAAAGAAAUAUCAUUUAUACAGACUUUACUCAUAAGAUUCUUAAUAUAAUUUUAUCUCUCUUUUUUGUGUUAUAUUAGCAGUUAUAUUUAGAUUAGCAUAUCCAGUAAAUAUCUCUACUUAUUAAAUUAAUUAUCAUUGUAGCUGCUAACGUGUAUAAUGCUGAUACAUCGUAUUCGAUGAUUGUUUCAGUAUAAAAUUUAAUUUUUUAUAUAUUUCUUUUUUCUCAUAUGUAAAGCUUAUUUAUUGAUCUUAGAUUUUAUUUCUUUUUAUCUUUUUAAUUAUCGUUACUACUCUAUGAUUUAAAUUACACUUUCAAACAUGAAAAAGUAUUAGGUUCAAUUUUCUUUACUCUGAUAUUUGAGAAAGAUAUCCCAUCGCGAAUAUAAAUUUAUUUUAAUAUAUAAUUGGCAGAUCAAGGACGAGAGCUUCGAUGUAACUACCCUCGCCUUCAAUUUCCUGCUAGGUAUCUCCAAACGUAGUAGAUACCGUAUUAGCUUGAGUCAAAGCUGUCCAUAGAGGACUAUGAUCUAUUGGCACCGCUAAAGAUUUAGGAGAUCUAGAGUCAAGAUAUUGUAAAAUAAAAUAUAACCUCGGCGGUGCCAAUAUUGUAUGCUAGUCAGGACUACUCAAUUCCAAUGCAGUACUUUGCUCAGGAUCAGAUCGUUCCUCGACAACGGUAUCCAGUUCUAACGAUGGAAAUGUUCUUGAUCCACGAUCACUUUUCAAGGAUACGGUUCUCGUUGGACGAUCAACGCCAGCUAAAGAAAACAAAAAAUUAUCAUCAAUUUCGGAGAGUAAGUUAAGACACAAUCUAUAGGUAUUUUAAAUAAUUACUAUGAAUUAAUAUUAAUAAAUGCGAGAUUAAAACCUCACGUUGUGUUCCAUCUUGGUCCGCCAUUAAUUAUAUAUUAUAAAAAUGGACUUUUAAAAAUCUUUUGAA